CCUACGGGAGGCAACAGUGAGGAAUAUUGGUCAAUGGCCGGGAGGCUGAACCAGCCAAGUCGCGUGAGGGAAGACGGCCCUACGGGUUGUAAACCUCUUUUGUCAGGGAGCAAGGUGCAGGUCGGGACCUGCUGUGAGAGUACCUGAAGAAAAAGCAUCGGCUAACUCCGUGCCAGCAGCCGCGGUAAUACGGAGGAUGCGAGCGUUAUCCGGAUUUAUUGGGUUUAAGGGGUGCGCCGGCGGAGGCACAAGUCAGCGGUAAAAUCGCGGGGCUCAACCCCGCUCCGCCGUUGAAAAUGUGUGCCUUGAGUGCGCGAAGGGUAGGCGGAAUGCGUGGUGUAGCGGUGAAAUGCAUAGAUAUCACGCAGAACUCCGAUCGCGAAGGCAGCCUACCGGCGCGCAACUGACGCUCAUGCACGAAAGCGUGGGUAUCGAACAGGAUUAGAUACCCCAGUAGUC
rnacentral:rRNA from 1 species